GAUGAACGCUGGCGGCGUGCCUAAUACAUGCAAGUCGAGCGAACAGACGAGGAGCUUGCUCCUCUGACGUUAGCGGCGGACGGGUGAGUAACACGUGGAUAACCUACCUAUAAGACUGGGAUAACUUCGGGAAACCGGAGCUAAUACCGGAUAAUAUAUUGAACCGCAUGGUUCAAUAGUGAAAGACGGUUUUGCUGUCACUUAUAGAUGGAUCCGCGCCGCAUUAGCUAGUUGGUAAGGUAACGGCUUACCAAGGCGACGAUGCGUAGCCGACCUGAGAGGGUGAUCGGCCACACUGAAACUGAGACACGGUCCAGACUCCUACGGGAGGCAGCAGUAGGGAAUCUUCCGCAAUGGGCGAAAGCCUGACGGAGCAACGCCGCGUGAGUGAUGAAGGUCUUCGGAUCGUAAAACUCUGUUAUUAGGGAAGAACAAAUGUGUAAGUAACUAUGCACGUCCUGACGGUACCUAAUCAGAAAGCCACGGCUAACUACGU
rnacentral:rRNA from 1 species